UUUCGAGACGAAAAAUCCAUUAUCAUUCUUUUUGUUCCGAGACGCUGGCCGAGAAGGUACUCUAGUCAUCAUUACUGUUGUACUUGUUUCUGAAAUUGUUCUUCCCAAAAAAGCCUCUUUCAUGUUUAUGGCGCGUUGUCGCAGAGUUGUCAUGAAGAUGCAUCUUAAGAGGGUCUCUACUAUAUUGGAAGACAAAUGAGAUAAAAAGUGGAAAUCUGAAAAGCAUGCCUUUGUCACUUUGGUGUUGAAGCUGUUAGUGGUGGUGUCUGGUGUGCAGUGGUGUGAAAAUUAAAGGCGAUAGUAGGACGAGUGAGCAUCUCCGACCCGUCAACUAUAGCGUCGUUCUGCUGUUGGUAAUCGUUGAUGGAUGGGUCGACCACUGGUGUACCUGUGUUUCCUGAGGAUGGCGGGUACCAAACCGUAACGCCGUUGUCUUCCUACUGAACAAAACUGAGAAGGUCGAAUGUUACACAGCCACGUAUGCUGCCCCAGUUUACUACACCGAUGGGCACAUGCUUACUCUACUUCAAGCUAUUACCAAACAGAGGCUUCUAACUAUAGGCGAUGGAGAUGAGUCGAGUGAGCAUCUCUGACCCGGCAACAACUGCAGAACAUUAUUUGUCAUCAACUACAUUCUUUCAAUUCUCGAUCAUGGUUGGCUAUGGCGUCGUUCUACCGUUGGUUAUUGAUAAUUGCUGGGUCGACCACUGUUGUACCGAUGUCUUGUGGGUAUGGAGGAUACCAAACCGCAACGUCGCCGCCUAACUACUCAACAUACGCAACAACCAGUUACUACACCGAGGCCCACAAGUACUACUCCUAUCCCAGCUACUAUAUCGAGGCAACAAAGUACUACACCAUCAAGGCACCCCGAGUAUUACACCACUACUUAGGUUUCUCCGACCUACUGUACCGAAGCUGCGAAGUAUUCCACUGCCCCGAGCUACUAUACCGUUAAGGGACUCGAAUGUUACAUCACAACCUUCGCUACUCCAGUUUUCUACAGGGAGGCUUUUACAUACUAGAUCCGAAAUUUCUGAUUGAUUUAUUUAUGUUAAGUUUUUUCGUUCACAUCUUGAUAGUUAGCCUACUAGUAACUGGUAAUCGUUGUUGAUCUCAAUGAGGAAAUAUAUUUUUAAAUGGAAAA